CAGCCGCCGGGUAAUACGAAGGGUGCAAGCGUUACUCGGAAUUACUGGGCGUAAAGCGUGCGUAGGUGGUGGUUUAAGUCCGUUGUGAAAGCCCUGGGCUCAACCUGGGAAUUGCAGUGGAUACUGGGUCACUAGAGUGUGGUAGAGGAUAGUGGAAUUUCCGGUGUAGCAGUGAAAUGCGUAGAGAUCGGAAGGAACAUCUGUGGCGAAGGCGACUAUCUGGGCCAACACUGACACUGAGGCACGAAAGCGUGGGGAGCAAACAGGAUUAGAUACCCCAGUAGUCCCUGUCUCUUAUACA
rnacentral:rRNA from 1 species